GUAUUCUCUUGUCUUUUCUGCACACCAGCCGUUGCGUAUCUUCCACCAACUGGUCGUAACAAACGUUAGAUCACACACUGGCCCAGCGAGAGCGGAGCCACGGUUUGAUCACGUGACGAUAGGUUGCGUCACAGUUGCCCCUCUCACCACUCAACCAACGAACCAACGGACGGAACCGCCAUCUUUUACCCACUGAGAGACCAGAGGAACACGGACACCAGCACCAACGUCCAAAAAUGAUAAGGCAACACAGAACGACGGGCUUGAUCGUAACUGAACAAAGACGUUCGAGACUGGCGAACAAGUUCUUCUCUUCCACUUCGGAAAACUAGCAGUGAGAAGACUGAAGCGUGAAACACGACCGACUCCGACGGCGAGCAGCGACGAACGAGGAUGCGCUCGAGCACGUAGCCUGUGCCGCACUCUCAGUCUAUCCCCACUACCAAGUAUGAUCGGCAUCCGGUGGCAACUGUGGCGCGCAUUCGCGAGGAUUUCUGCUAGCUGAUUGGUGCACAGCCGUUGCUACUUGGCCUACGAUUGGCCGAUUGCACACCAAGAAUUCCCGCGGCGUUCACUAUCCAUGGGACUCACUACCACACACACGUAUGAACCACACGAGGCCACUCUCGAUCUUACACAAAUGAUAUUCAGACGAGGACACUGCGUACCACACAUCCAUACGUGUGAUGUACACACGUGUAUGUAUACUAGCUACUCGCGAGCUUUUGUGCACACCAACAUCCACGUAUAUUUGCGUGUACGUGUGUUGGAAGAUUCCACACGCCCGCGCUUCGCUACGGUCGUAUGACGGACGAACAGGAACUGGCCACAACCCGCGCGGAAACGCGCUACUUAUGCUGCCGGUGGGAAGAAAACCGACGAAUCAAGACAGCCUUUAUACCCACCGCCUUUAGACCUCGAUGCUACGGGUCCAAAGGGCCAUCGUGGUGGUGUUCUCGAAUGCGAACACGGGGGAUGGAGGUCAGCCAACCCCUCUUGCUGCUAUGCGCAAAACCAUGAUAAAUAUGUAACACAUAUAAUACGCGGAUGCGGAUCUAUCUCUGUACCAAUCGCUAUAUCAACGAUUGUGGCAAAAAUAAUCAGGCUACCAUUUGCUAUUCGCUACUCACGUUGAAAGCGCCACCAAAUCGUUGACCCAUUUUUCUAUCGAUUAUCCAGCUUUCGCAGUAGCCUCCGACCAUCAAGAUUCGGUUCUCCAAAUAUUCGAAACUUCCGCGGUGACCUCGUAACGAAGCUGAAUACAAUCCGUCGUCUUCUCGCACUGUUCAUUUUCUCUUUGUCUUUUCAAGUCCGAUUGUAAAGUGGUCGAUCUCGUAUAAUUCGUACACCAAUUUCGGAGUUUUACGCGACGAUUGAACGCGCACACGGUUAACAUUAACGUUACGUAAUCACACGACGUUCCUGGAAACCGUUCCUAUCGUUUUCAUUCUCAUCGUGAAUAUUCUCUUCAAUAGGAUCGAGGAUCGGGAAAUCGAUGACGUUCAUUUAUCGAUACAACAAUGAAACAAAACAAAAAAGAUAAUGGUAGCGCGUUACACGACACGCGUAAAAACGUGGGAGAAGUGAAUAAAAAAUGGAUAUUCUUAACCGACGUUUCGAGAUGAAAUAAAGAAAAGAUGAAGAAAAAUGGUGGAAUUGAAACGUUCGUUGCGAUCGAAGUAUUAAAACGUGAAAGAACGGUGCUGCGUGUAUAGCGGUUAGUCGAUUAACGAAGCUGGCGUAUUGGGAAGGGAAGGGGGUGGCUUGGUGGAACAUUGGAACUCGACUUGGACGUCCUAUUUCUACGUUCGGAAAGGUUCGUGUGGCGAGCCGAUCGCGCACGAAGCAACGGGGAUAUAAGUAGGUCGUUUCGAGCCGCACGUGUCGUCCUUGACUCACAUAGCGUGGCGCGCAGGCGCUCACCGUUGCCGCAUUGCUGGUCGCUAGGGCUUUUUCUUUGUUCCUCUUCGCGUGUGUGCGCCCGUAAUGUUCCGCGCACACGUUCCCUUAUGAGCACAGCACACGAGUAUGUAUGUGUAUACACGUGUGCACGGUUGUGCGCGCACGCACCUAUCCGGCACUCUGCAAAAUGAGCUAGCUGCCGCCGCGCCGUAAUCUAUCUAUCGCGUCUAAUGUGCUGUACAUGAUCGAGUAUGUCUCCGUCUACGUCUCCGUGUAUUUAUCCGUGCGAAUCGACCGUUUCCUGUUUGCGCCAUUUUCUCGAUUUGUGAAACUUAUUCGUAAGAAGAAAAAACGCUUAACCAUGAGUAUCAAUAAAUGUUACGCAGCUAUAGUAAUUUCUUGUACCGAUAUACCUGCACGAUUUCGAGCAAACAGUUAAUAUAAUUAGACGUUUUCGUUAUGGACGGACGCGAUCCGAGGGGGUCGAGACACGAAGAAGGCACGUUGUGCAACGCUCAAGGAGAGUGAGCAGUGAGCAACACGCGUGUCGUGCGUUCCUGCGUGCUCACGGACGCAUAUGCGCACGCUCGAUGAUAAUCGACAGAAAGAGAAAGGUCAUCGGGGGGGGAACGAAGUUUCGCUUCCUCUUCCUUGUUGCGAUUACACGAGUAGGUAAGCGGGUACCGAAAUUGCGGAUAGUGUGACGCAACGUGCAGCUGUACGUAGGUACGUGCAUAUAUGAAUAUAUGUAGGAACGGACUCGUACACUGACAGACAUGCGCAUACAUGCAUUCGUGCAUACAUGCGUGUAUUUAGAUAAAGUAUUGGAUACGCCUGCGGAAACACGGCAGUGCACGACAUACAGAAUUCGCGCGUUUAUUCGUAACCGUGAGUCGCCAUCCAUUACAGGGCUUGAAACGGUACACUGAAGAAUUUUAAUUCGACAAUUUGUAAUUUUUCUCAUUUCCGUCAGUUGUUUAUGGCACGUUAAUUUGAACUACAUAUGCAGCGACUCUAGCGAGUUCUGUCGGAUCGACAGAAUAGCAGACUUCUUUUGAUAUGCAUCCAAGGACAGUUAUGUUUCACGAAGACCUGUGCGAAGUCGGUAGUUGGCUUUGGCAUCGUGAGUAUUGAUCGCAACGGGAAUUCAAAGGGGAGGCCACCACGUUAGGCUACUCGAACCCCAAUUGGAUCGACCUACCUCGUAGCAGUAGGCAACUGAAGGGGGGCUCUGCCGCGGCCUAUUUCUUAGAGUAUCGAGGUUCCCUAACCAAAACGUUCAUUUUUUAAUUUACUUUAUAUCCUAGACAAAUAUGAGCUCCUGCAUGAAUAAACCAAGGCACUUUUAGACCGGCUUAGUAUUUUUGGCGUAGCCGGUUCGAACGGGAUGCUACGUUUCAGAGAAACGAAAUGGAGGACUUCAGCAGGAGACCGAUGUGCUGUUAGUUGGGAAGACCUUGAGCGUUAAUUACUCUCAGACGAGAACGACGCGAUGUACUAAGUUUUUUCGCAAAAUGGCCGUACUUAUAUAAUCUUUGGCAAUGCUUUUGGCGUUGCGAUUGUAGGAACGAUUGCUGCUGGCAAGAUGUGGGACUAAUUUACACGAAUUUCAUUGUUUCCAUUCUGCUCGAUCAACGUCGUGCAACACGCUGUCGUGCAACGCGAUCGUUGCAUAACGCCAUCUUUUUAAUGACCAUACGACGUCUCCGUAAUGAAGUAGUCACGCCAAGCUGUCUGCACGUGGAACAUACAGGGUGUCCCAUUUAAUUGGAAUAUAUCAUCGGGAAUAUCUUGGAAAUUGUAAUAAUUCGAUGAAGAAUAUCCGAUAAGAAUAUGUGAAAGAAAUAAACGUUGCUAACGACAGCCAAUAAACUGACGGUGUCACGUUGUGGCACAUCGUUUUGAUUUAACGCGCAUACUUUUGUGUCGUCCGAGAAGGUUCGCAUGCUAGAGUUCCACAGAUAAGCACGUUCUUAUCAGCGUAUGUACUUACGUAAGCAACGAAUCGUGUAAGUAAGUCUUUACUCGGCUUCGCACUCUUUUUCCUCUUCCGUCCUCUCACGGUGUAACCCACUCUUUCAUCGUCGUUCUUUUUCACCUUUCUUUUUUCCUGGCUUACACUUUUCACCUUCAUUUUUCCUUUACCUUACUCAUUUCUUUCGCGUGCGUUAGUUUCUUUCAGAAUCGUAUUUCAUCUAAAGAUAAUGCUUUCUCUCCUGUUAACAAUUCUUUUGCUUUUAUCCCAACUUUCAUUUUUGCUAUUUUUAAUCAUUUUUUUCUUAGUUUAUCGCCUUUCUUUACCCUUUCAACUUGAUUAUAAAUUGUCGCCAUGACUUUGCAUUGUGACACGUGCAAAAAGUAGUGCAGCAUCUUGCAGCGCCAUCUAUUUAGAGCUUUGGGCACAAGCAGGGCGGGGCUGUGAAUGGUUCAGGGUUAAGAAUGGAUAUUUUAGCUGUUUCUCAAAAUCUUUAGAGUGACCCUAAUAUUGGGUUAUUAACUGCUUAAAUAUUAGCCAACACUGAUCUCAUUUUACGUUGAAAAGUGCCAUCGCGUUGGCUCGGUACGUAGUGAACUUGGUUCCUACUGUAACGUAUCGUUAACGUUAACACUGCUAAACACAAGUAUUUUAACAUUAAUAUUAAUAUCAUACGAAAACAAGUAUUGAUCGGUGAAGGGUAAAUAUUCUGUAAUAAUUAAACUUCAGGCUGGGUAGCAGAAGUUUGGGCGCAUCGUGGAUGACAGACAGUCACGUGGACAUGGCGCGUGCCGGAAGCUGUCAAAAGAUACGAGAGAAGUCUGAUCUUGUUAAAAUGGUAAACUAUAUUAUCUCUGGUGGAUGAUGUCUUGCAAUUUACGUGUUGUUAUAAAGCACAGCAACGAUAAGGGAAAUGCAAAACGCGCUUAGUUUCGAAGAUACGGGUGAAAGAAAAAAAAAAUAUGGAUACGAUUACAGAAGAAUGCUUCCUUUUAUACAGUCACGGUCAUACUCACUUUUUGAAUCGUGUAAGCGCAACAGUUAUCUCUGACAACGUUUUAUCAUAAACUAUGACACGUGAUUGGAUACUUUUUUGUCGAUCGGCUGACACAUCCCUUAUUAGUAAAUUCAAGCGCGAAGAAAAAUUUGUACGCGAGGGUGUAGAUGGUUGCGUACAUCGUGCCGCUGAGUAACGACACUGUUAUCGAACGUGACAUUUCACGAUUGACCCGUUCUAAUUACAAUAUUCUUACGCGUUAAGUGGUGCGGUGGCAGAAGGCAAAGAUCGGUUAGCGGACAGUUAUGCAUGAACGGUGACCUCUUCGUUAUCGGUAGAUCGAAAACAACGAAUCACAGUCAAAGCAGAGGUUGCAAACCUAGUGGACGGAGCGUUUCCAGGGAUUUAUCGCUGAAACGAUGCUUUCGAGGAAGCCAGAGUAAAUCGACGAAUGCACCUUGGGAUUCUUGUUACUUGGUUCGUGUUCCUUUGUUACACAACCGGCUCUCUCGGCAACUCGGCCAACUAUCGACCCCACCAACUAACUUUGUUCUCACUCUGUCCCCUUCCUUUUUUUUCUUCCCUCUUCUUCCUCUUUCUCUCUCUUAAGCUCCCCUUCAGAGUCUCUUUUAUUUCCAACCCCAUCUUUCUGUUCCUUCCUUUCUCUUUUGACAAACUCCGUCCUCCGCUCUUUUCUGUUGCCUGUCCUUUCUCUCCGAGCCUAUACCCCUGUGUGUCACCUACUCGCUCCGCCAGAGUCGGCCGUUUAUUGAAAAAAAAAUUCUCCUACAGAAUGGAAUCUUCAUAUUUCUCCACUUGCUUAGCCUGUGCAAUUAAAAAGCCGACCGAAAGAAAAAUUCAUUUUCCAUUGAAAUUGUAAGAAAACGAUCGACCUCCGCCUCCAAUUUAUACCUAUUCUAAGUCUAGACACGUAAUUGCGAUAAUUAAGAUAGUCGAAGUAACCUUGGAUGACCUUGACAACUUAUAGUUAGAAGUUAGAAUAGUUAUUAGAAGGUGCCUUAAUGGGGGACUUGGUUUGGGUUUCGGGUUAAAUCCCUAACUCGCAAUCAGGCACGAUGCACGAUUCCGUGUGAAAUACUUAAGGAGGAAGACUUCGAUUAUUAAAUUAUUCGAGUGGUUGUUAUCUUGGUUCGGCGUUUAAGUGUUCGUUGGACAGCGUGACAUGAAAUACGACAUUUUUGUCUCUUGUUGCGCCACUGUGAUGAUAAGUGGAAGAUUCCGAACGUAGGGAUGGGGAUCCAUUUAUCUUUGUACUCCACCGAGCACAACGUAAUUUGUACUGGUGUGCAGUAGGCAUAGAGAUUGCGAGGGCUUCGAAAAAUCGCGAUUCUAACGAUGGAAAUUGUGGAGCAUGUGGAGUAACCUAACUUAGCGCAAUUCCAGGAAAUCAAGACCUCCCUUCACAGCUACUUCCUGAAGUUCCAUCUAUUUCGCUAGACGGACUGUUUCGGCUCCCUUUUCGCGGAUCCCCUCUGCAUCUUCCGCAUCCCUAACUUAACUACCCCUCCCUUUCUAGCGGAGAAGCUUCUUGCUACCCAUUCUUCUCGACGAAAUUUUCUUCGUCUUCGUUCAACUAGUCUCUCCCUCUACCCUUGUUCUUUUCUACCCCUCGUUGAAUCUACGUCCCCCUUUCUUUGCUUUUUUUUUUUUUUUUCUUCCGUGAAUGUCUGACGGACCCAAGGGACACGUAGUGGGGGGCCACGUGCUCCCAGUACCUAGUCACGCGAGGGUAGGAUACGUGGUAUAUAUGUAUGGAUGUACCAAUGUAUGUACAGCAGAUUCGUUCGAAUGCAUAGGCGUGGAAACGUGUUUUCUAUUGAAAGUGCGCUCGCGAGAACAGUGUCCAGUUUACGCGGAGAUCUUUCGCGGAAGUUAAGGGACUUUUCUAUCAUGGCGGAAGGAAUAAAGAGGUAUGACUUUCGGGAAGGUCCAAUCUUUUGAUAUGGUAAGCAAUUUUUUUCAAACUCUCAGAACAGUUUCAUUGAAACUUUAGCCAGCCCUGGACAAUAUGUUCUCGAAAAAUGUGUCACCUUUUAUCUUAUCAUCCGGAACACGUGUAUAAGUAUGAAAGUAACUUCUAUGCUUCUAUUGGAGCAGAACGAUAGAUUUACACGUGCGUCAGUUACAGAGCGAAUGCUGUUUUCUGAAUUCAUUCCUUGUUCUACUUCGAGACAGUGUAUGAAUUUUUUUUUUAUUAGGAAAAAAUAAUCGUCAUUGCUACGAGUAUACUGGCAAGUGUAUGCGAACGAAUGCUGUUGAUAGCCGCGGUGGGUGUUACAGAAAACAGAAGUAACAAGGUUGAUAGGAGUUGCAGGCGUUCAAUAGUUAAUCGAGAGGUUGGUUGUGGAGUAAUAGUAGCUGGUUGGCCAGCUGCACUUGACUCUCCUAUGCAAGAUAAAUAGGUGCGGCUGUUUCCUAUUAAUAGCGGUUGCUUUACGCGGGGAUUCCACUGUUCUAGCUCGUUGUCUGUUAACUUGCCAGCCUGUUCACGUUCCGCUUAGAAAAUUUGAUGUGUUGUAAAAUACCUUCAAUUAUGUAACGAUACCUGUCCAAACCAACCGAACCACGAGAACUUGAAUUUACCUAUUGUCCAGCCAUUGGACAAUGGAUUACAAUAUUGUGAAAAACUAAUGGGUUUAUGGUAGCUGUUUCGAGACUAUAAUUUACGACGAUGGAGGUGAACUGGAGGACCUACGAAAGCUUGCUAGUUGAUUGCUAUGGAGGUCACCGAUGACCGAAGAAGAAUUCAUUUUCCAUAUCUCUGGUAAUCCCUGUUGUAAAGUGUUCUACUAGAUAUGGAUGUUUCUACUGUGAUGGUCAAUUAGAAAAAAAUAGGUUCUGAAGCAUAUUAUCAAAUGAAGGUACCAUGAUAAAUCUUUAAUCGACGGGUUUAUUUGGUAGAUGUGUUCUACUAGAUUUAACUAGAGAGACACGAUGAAUAGUAGUAGUAGUAGUGGUAGUAGUAAUAGUAGUAGUAGUAGUAGUAGGAGUAGAAAGGUGGGGAUCAAACAAAAUCCGGUAUAGGCGGGCAACGACCUUUAGGCACGUGGCACGGGACACGUGCUGCAUUCGACAAACUGUCGAACGGCCUUUUGCCUCUUCUUUUUAUCUCCUUUCUUUCGCUUCUGUUUUCACCUCGUUUCGCUUCAAAUUUUCGGCCCGUGCUAUCUCGGUCUCACCGCGAUUUCCUCCUAUCGACUGGGGUACCGUUAACACUUUGGCUACCAACAGAGAAAAUGACUACGCGUGGCACAGUACAUUUCAUUAGGAAUUAUUAGGAAUCUAGUGAUACGAUGAUAUGAUACGAAACAAAACCUCUUUGGGCAUUCGUGGCCACGUGAGUGUGAAAUAAGAGAUGUUCACUCCCAGUUGAAUCUUGUAAAUGCAAUUAGAGCCUUAAUUAUCUCAGUUGAUUAACGCGUUCACUACCAUGGGAGGUGACCAGUAGCACUGGCCAGCUACUUAUAAAAAGCAAUAAAAUCACUGCAUAUAUUUUCGUUUGAUAACUAAACAUACGUAGCAAAUAUCGAACGAUUAAGCUAGUUUUCACGUUCCACACUGUUAUCUUCUAUUUGUUCGUUGAUUAUAUGGGCGUCGCGUGGAAGAUAAUAGUUCACUUUCUGAUGUCGUGAUACAAUAAAGGGAACAAAUAAUCAUAAAUAUUAUACAAUUUUUGCGCGAUAAAGAAACGGAUCCGACAUCAAUCAGGAAAAUUUUAAGAAGUUUGUCUUCUCUAUUGAAAUAGCAAAAUAUCCUAGAUAUGUACAUCCCCUUACCUUGAUUUCAUCCCCUUGACCUUUCGAAGAUGCGUUCAUUCUAGGGAUUUCUAUGGUACCCAUUGGUAUGUCUUUCAAUUUUAAGCGACACCAAUAUUCAGUACUACAUGCAUUUGCAAUGUCUAUAAAUAAUACUCGAGGACAGUAGUCACUCAUGACAGGAGACACUUAGAAAGUCCAUGCUUUUUAUCCAUGGUUAACUAUAUGUUGCUUGCUUCAGACUAUGAUUCGAACGGGUUAAAGUGUCUAGUACUCCGAAAGGAUUAAAACAUACUUAUCAACUUGUGUAGCAGUGCACCCUCUUCUCUGUCCCUUUCUUAUCGUACCGCUCGGUCACGCUAAUUUUCAUUCCAAUUAUUUUCAGCUAGCUAACUCGAUGGAUCAGCAUUGGACGCGAAACAAUAGGCGCGGACGGGUGACAUAAGAUGAGCAGCUCGACAAAAUAGUUGGUCUCCGUCGGUGGCCUCGCUCUAGAAUCGCUCUAGAUCGCCAUCUAGGGUGAGGAGGGCGCGAGGAGAAGGUGAAAGAGGAGGACAGAGCAGGGCAGGGCAAAGAGGGGCUGAGGUCAGCAGUACAACGCUGCUAGCUGCUGUACCAGCUCAAUACCAGCUCUGACCCAUUUGGCAAUGUUCCCGAGUUCGGGCCACGGGAUUUCCCCGUAUGAGAUCACCGUUUUUAUUUUUCCAACUUUUUUUUUUUUCUUUUCCCCUCUAUCUUACUGCCGCAUCCAUAUUUCCCAUAAUUCAUGCACCAUGGGAGAGGUUCGUGGGAAAAUAAUCGGCGCCACUGCCGUUCUACCAUUCAACUAGGCAUCUUUCGAAAUACGAGGAGAUUUUUCUUUCCUGAACGACACUUGAAAACUGACCUAGAUUGUAUUGGCACGAUUAAAACGAAGAAACGAGCGUGAAUAAACGAGGGUGUACAAGAUGGACAAUUAAGCUUACACUCUGCAAUAAUUGUUUGAUUUAACCGAGAUAUACUGCUAAGACUCUUACAGUAUGUGUGGAUAUCGUUGAUGUAUAUUUGCUUUUAAUCCUUUAACACAACCAUCUAUUACUGCUUUUCUGUCGAAAAGUUUUCAUCCCCUUUUGCAAGAAGCAAAACUAACUCUAAUAGAUGUUAAGCCGAAUGAGCCAGCAUCCGCCGUACAAGGGGUAAUCGAAAUGUGGGUCAAUCGUUCGCAUGGAAAAUUUAACGAAAAAGACAGAUAACGUUUGUUCGGUGAUUUUCUUUGCCGCUCCUUUCGUGACCUCAGACCGAAACUAGACCACGCGAAGCUUUUGGUAAAUGUGUCAAACACCCGGUGUGGGAUCAAUACUUGCGCCCUGGUUUCUCCUCUCCUUCCUUCGCCCCACUCUUUUCACCCUUACCCUCGAUAUACCUACGCUCAUACGCCCCUUCGAUCUCUCUUCGCUCUUCACCACCUUUUGCAACCCUCUACCUUCUCUUGUCAAGCUUGUUACAUACCGUUUCGUCUCACUUCUCUGCCGGAUCAUAGUUCCCGAGACGUCUCUUUAACUGCUGACACUGUCGUCAAGGCGAAAUUAGUCGGUAGGGUUAAUCGAAGGAAUCGAUAUCGAUAUUUGAUCAGUCAGCUUCAUUAGACCAGUUUAUCGUAGAAUGUAUUUCUUCUUCAUAAAAUAACCCUAAAUUACAUUUGGUUGGCCAAUUUUCUUUCCAUCCAUCAAAAAUCGUUCUUCCGGCAAUGUUUUCAUCCAUCGUCAGGGCUUCUGCCUAGUUUUGUUUGGGAAAAUAACAAUUUAUUGUUAUUCGUACCCUCAGGUUCCAGCUCUUCCCGCUGUUUUCAAUCGAGUAUCCCCCGAUACUCGAUCCUCUCCACCCCUGGUGCCACCUGCCUCCUGGAAGGGGACAAAUAGCGCAGGGUGGCGGUUCAAUAGAAAGACGAAGAGGCAAAGGGAGCAACAUUUCAAUGGGGUAAAAGGGAAUCGAGCUCUGGAUUCACCCCAACCGAGCGCGCAUGCUUCUGAGCGAAAUUCUGUUCGCACACUGCCUCUGCAGCGACCCUCUAUCACGCCAUUGUGCCCUAUUCUUUUUAUAGACCCUUUCAAAAUUGCGUUCCUACGCAUGAUUUUGUAUAGUACAGUUUCUAUAAGCCUACAGUCUACUAUGUCUCUACUAUAGAACACUGUUUCUUCUGAAACAUUUUAUAGAGUUCCGAAUAGAGGAAGGAGCCUCCCACUAUUUGCUUUUGUUUAGGAAGAGUCUAAGCUAGAACCUCUCGUCUCUGUCAAUGUAAGUGAUAAAGAUUAAUUUCUACGUGCAUUUCUUUUGAACCGACCUGUAGAUAGGGAUCGUUACCCAAGGUACGCUCGUGGCUGCGGCUAAAAAUUUUAAUGAACCGUGCAAUAAAACGUGAAGUACAGGUAGGGGAUAUUCAGCUUUAAUUAAAUGUCUGAUGCCUCUGGGGAAAAAACCAAAACGUUUUGCAUUUUUAACUAUAACUCUGCAAAGCAUCACGAAUUGAUUAAAAAAAAUUACAGUUAAAAAACACGAGAAUUUUAGCUAUGUUGCUGGUUCGAUUGGAGUUUUGUUGAAUUAUGUAAUCUUGAUGAACUAGUAUGUUUGGAAUUUUUCUAUUUUUGAAGAAAAUAUAUUCUCGAGACCCCAUUCCAAAAUGGAUUUUCUUGUUCGGCAUUGCUUCGAUCUUGACAUUUCGUUCGUUUCGCAAUCGAUAUACAUAACGUUAUUUCCUCGUGUCGCUUUUCAGGUGAUCGUAACCUGACAUUUCAGACAUCGUCGCGUGGCUUUGAGUUCCGGUUCGAUGAAAAAAGCAACGAACUGCAAAGUCAACAAGUUUUUCUGCAUGGAAUCGAUAACGAAAGCCGAUAAUUGGGCAUCGAAAUGCAGACGUCAACCUGAUGUGACAUCUACAUUUCGUAAGUGGUUCAACACACUAGCGUUGGUAAGAAAAGUCCGAUUACCACACUGGUGUAAACGACUGGACAAGUAAUGGAAAGAAUACUAAAGAUAGUUGGUUGGCAGAGUAGAAUGUGUUAGCACAACCUAACUCUAAAGGCCUAGCGCUAAUAUCCUUUACCAUUUACUCUGUCAUAAAAUAGUUAUUGCGGCUAUUCUGGUGAGUUUCUUUUUUCUUUAGAAGAAAAGU